GUUGCAGGCUAGCCCACCCAGCCGGCUCUGUGCGCGGUCCGACCGCUGCAAGCCCGGAGGAGCGCGGAAGUUUUCAUUUGGGGUCGGGAAAGGGCUUGAACUUGCUCAGAGUUUUGGGGUGAAGCCACAGAUUUCUGGAGGCAUUUGGGGGACGUGAAGAACGUCAAAGGCAAAUGGGUGCUGGCAGUUACUAUGUUGUGGUUUUCACCUGCGGUCAAACUUCAGAUAAAGAAACUGACUAGAGAAACAACUCGAGGGAUAGAGGUGUGGACAACUAAGCUGACAUCUGCCUCUCCAGGAUCUUAUCUUGUGUAUAGUAGUUCCUCUGUGGAUGUUGGUGGGAUGAAUAAAUGAAAGAGGAGCACAUAGAGGCUGGAUUCGAUGGAGAAUCGCCCUGAAGAUCCUUAGCUGUGCCUCUUCUCUCUGGGGCUGGGGCGCAGCUGGAGGGACUGGAGGCUAUCUGCAGAGGCGCUUUGAUGGAAAAUACGGGAUCUCUGUAAGACCCCUCUCUGUGAACGUGGCCUGGAGUAUUAGGUUGUGCAUAUGUCAGUGCUGCUGAGUUGCCUCUUCACCCGCCUUUCUCCACACUGCUGGGACUCUACCACUCACAGCAGGAUGAGACUUCUCUGUGGUUUUGUCCUUGCCCUGUUUUGGAGACUUACAAUCUCAACAGUACUAACACACUCAAAGAAAUGCUUGUAAUUAAGAACUUUAAUGGAAGGUGUGACUAAGUCGGAUGUUUUCUCUGAGGGCUAUGCCAGCCGUGGUUCUGUGCCCUGGUAGUUUGGUCAAGG